rfam:Escherichia coli str. K-12 substr. MG1655, complete genome.
CCCAUUUAGGCACAAUGCGCCGCUGUCAAAAAAUGACUAAAAACCGACGUUUCAUCAGCGUCGGUUAUUUUUUGC